rnacentral:rRNA from 1 species
GAUGAACGCUAGCUACAGGCUUAACACAUGCAAGUCGAGGGGAAACGGCAUUGAGUGCUUGCACUCUUUGGACGUCGACCGGCGCACGGGUGAGUAACGCGUAUCCAACCUUCCCAUUACUGUGGGAUAACCUGCCGAAAGGCAGACUAAUACCGCAUAGUCUUCGAUGACGGCAUCAGAUUUGAAGUAAAGAUUUAUCGGUAAUGGAUGGGGAUGCGUCUGAUUAGCUUGUUGGCGGGGUAACGGCCCACCAAGGCGACGAUCAGUAGGGGUUCUGAGAGGAAGGUCCCCCACAUUGGAACUGAGACACGGUCCAAACUCCUACGGGAGGCAGCAGUGAGGAAUAUUGGUCAAUGGACGGAAGUCUGAACCAGCCAAGUAGCGUGCAGGAUGACGGUCCUAUGGGUUGUAAACUGCUUUUGUAUGGGGAUAAAGUUAGGGACGUGUCCCUAUUUGCAGGUACCAGACGAAUAAGGACCGGCUAAUUCCGUG